UGUUAUAACCUUGAAUAUUAAAAAAUGUCAUCACGUUAAGGGAGGAAGACUGACCUUGUUCAUGUGCAGAGAAUAUCAUUAAAGACCAGAAGGGCCAAUGUAUGAGAAAGGGAUAGUGAAGAAACUCCUUCUAAUUUUGAUUUCCUGUUUAUUUCAGUAUAAUUAGAUCAAAGGUACAUGACUCUUUUAUAACUUUAAUUUACUUUUGAUUUGUGAAUAAAUGGUUCUUCUCUGUAUACAUCAUAUCUAUGGGUUUCAAUCUAAAUUCUGUUUAGCUAUCUUCAGGUAGGGAGAGGGAUACUUUCGUUAUUACUAGUGUUUUCCUUCUAAAAGCAUAAAUGAAAGCAUGUCUCUUUUUGAUGUUCAUUUUUGUUAGCAAGUAGUUCAAAAAAGAAAAUAGAAACUAGCAUAAUGAUCAUAUAUAAAACCACAACACAGUAAAUAUAUUAACACAAUUUUUAAAUUUUUCCUUCUCUUCAUUCUGAAUUAUAUUGAGUUGCUUCAUUCUCCAACAAAUCUGCCUAAGAAUAAAGAUAAAUGUCCCUUUUAAAAUAACACAAUUUGUUGUACACUGUAUUUGAAAGAAAAAUUGUAAAGUAACUAAGGCUACUGAAUUCCCUUUUUUCUCUGUGUUAGAAGAUAGUUCCCCUUUUGUUUUCAUAAGCCUUCUCUCAUGUCAUGAUUUUACAUGAAGCUUUCUUUCCAUAAGACAGCAUAUAAAUCUUAUUGAUUUGAAGAUUUCUGUAUUUACAACAUAUAAAGUUGUAUGUAGACUUAUAGAUUUAUGCUAAUUCUUCCAAUUUCAGAUUCUUAUAUUUUAUAACUUUUAUUUUGACUAUUUCAUAUAUAUAUAUGAACAAGAUAGCUUAUCUAUCUCUCUAUUUCUAUCUGUAUAUACAAUAUAUAAUGUAUUCUCGUUAUUUUUACCAUCAAUCUGUUCCUUUCUAUUUAUAUGUCACCAUGCAUUGCUAAGCAUAUCCAUUUAUUUAUUUAUUUAUUUAUUUAUUCAUUCAUUCAUUCAUUCAUUUAAUUAAUUAUUUAUUUAUUUUACACUCCAGGUUUAUUUCCUCCUUCUACCCCAUUUCACCCUCCAACUGUUCUACAUCCCAUACCUCCUCCUCACUCCCUGUCUUCACAAGGAUGUCCCCAACCCCCACCUGCCACCCCCUACUCCACCUGACCUCUAAACUUCCUGGGACCCUCCAGUCACUUGAGGGUGCAUCCUUUCUGAUUGAACACAGACCCUGCAGUUCUCUUCUGUAUAUGUGUUGGGGGCUCAUAUCAGCUUGUGUAUGCUGCCUGGUUGAUAAUCCAGUGUUUGAGAGAUCUCAGGGGUCCAGACUAAUUGAGACUGUGGUUCCUCCUGCUGUUCCUCCUCCCUCCUCCUCAGCUUCUUUCAGCCUCUAUCUAAUUCAACCACAAGGGACAGCAGCUUCUGUCCAUUGAUUGGGGUACUGUCCAUUGGUUGGUAUCUGCAUCUGAUUCUUUCAGCUGCUUGUUGGGUCUUUUGGAGUGUGGUCAUUCUAGGUCCCUUUUUGUGAGCACUCCAUAGCCUCAGUAAUAGUGUCAGGACUUGGGACAUUCCCUUGACCUGGAUCCUACUUUGGGCCUGUUGCUGAACCUUCUUUUCCUCAGGCUCCUCUCCAUUUCAAGCCCUGUAAUUCUUUCAGAGAGGAUCAAUUAUAGGUCAGAGUUGUGACUGUGGGAUGUCCUCCAUCUCCCUCAUGUGAUACCCUGUCUUCCUGCUGGAGAUGGGCUCUAUACGUUCCCUCUCCCUACUCUCUGCCAUUUCAAGUAAGGUCACUCCUUUGAUUCCUGAGAGACUCUUACCUCCCUGGUCUCUGGUGCAUUCUAGAGGGUCCCCCCAAACUCCUAACUUCCGUGACUGCCUGUUUCCAUUCUUUCUCCUGGCCCUCAAGACUUCAGUCCUUUUCCCACACCCAAUACCAGAUCAGGUUCCUCUCUCUCUCCCCCAUUCUCUCCCUGCCCACUUUUCCUCCCAGGUCCCUCCCUCCAUCUCCACUUGUGAUUGCUUUUUUUCCCCUCCCAAGUGAGAUUGCGGUGUCUUCACUUGGGCCCUUCAGCUUGUUGACUCUUGAGUUCCGUGGACUGUAUCUUGGGUAUUCUGUACAUCAUUUCUUUUUUCUUUCUUUUGGUUAAUAUACACUUAUUAGUGUGUACAUACCAUGUAAGUCCUUUUGGGUCUGAGUUAUCUCACUCAGGAUGAUAUUUCCUAGUUCCAUCCAUUUGCUUGCAAAACUCAGGAUGUCCUUGUUCUUAAUAGCUCAGUAGUGUUCCAUUGUGUAAAUGAACGACAUUCUCUGUAUCCAUCCAUUUGUUGUGGGACAUCUAAGUUGUUUCCAGCUUCUGGCUAUCACAGAUAAGGCUGCUAUGAACAUAGUAGAACAUGUUUCAUUUUAUAACCUUUAUAAUAAUAUGAAAAUUCUGAUUACUCUAAUUUAAGAACAAGGUAGUUUAUGAAAGAGAUAGAAAGGAAGAUAUACAAUAUACUUUAAGUCAAUCAUGAGCACAUUUGCCAUCAACAAUGUUGCAUUAAAAUUCAGCAAACAUUAAAAAAAUGAUUCAUUUAAAUCAAUUAACAGUUGUAAGCAUAUGGCAGUGUUUAAAAACAAGAACCACUGAAGCAAAGUCCUUCAUGUUUGGCCAGAGAUUUAUUUCCAUAUUUGAUUAUUCUGUUCAAUGUCAUCUAGGGUAGCUCUUCAAGAUGUGUGAAUCAGAGCAGUAUUUUUCAUGAUGCCAACCUUGGACAAUUUGACAUAGAACACAUCUUGAGUCUCAAUUCAGCAUCCAGAAUGCAUUCUUUCCCAUCGGGGUGUCGAUGGAAAAUAUGGUGACAAUUCUCUUCUACACAAGAAAAAAAAAUAGAAAUGUUCUUUGUUAGCGCAUUCAAGAAAAACAUAGAAGUAUGUUUUUAAAACAGCAAAAACAUCCCAUUAAAGCAUUUUAAAAUAGAAGCAUUGAUUUUAAUUCAAAACAUACGCACAUGAAGACAUAAUAUCAAGAAAGUACCACUCUAGUGAAACAGUGACAAUUAAAAAUGAGCAUUACAUCUUCCUGUUUUCUUUUUUUUUAAUUUUCUUUUCUUUUCCUGUUGAGCCUGUGAACUAGCAUUGAAUCUCAUCAGAUUAUAGUGUCCUUGUGUGACACUUCCUCAAAUCCUCUAGCCCUUUCUCGUUCCUUCUUCCUGUUUGGUCUUCUCCCCAUCUUUAGAAAGCCUAGUGGAUUUUUGUAACAGACAGAACCAAAGAGCCACCAAGUGAAAUACAGGUGCUGCAGUAGUAGUAUUUUGCCUCCUUUAUAGGUCAUGGGCAGAAGAUUAUUCAGUUAAAACAGAAAGCUUUUAACCAAACUGAGUUAAAAACUUUCAGUUGCUUUAUGGUAAAUAUGAGUUUCUUCAACAAACCUUUGAUCUUUGUGAUAUGUGGCACUGCCUCAGCAACACACACUCUAUGGUUGUCCUCUUUAAAAUCACUGGGUUAAUUUCUAUAUGAUGGAAAGCCUUAUAUCCUGUAUCAUUCUUCUUGAAAAGCCAUGUAGAGUGAUAAUUCUCACACAGCAGUAACAAAUGUAGACCUUGAAUGUCUUUUGAGGUAAGAAAAGGUUAUCUUUCUAGUAAAGUAUAUUAACCCUCUCUGAAUGUAAGU
rnacentral:lncRNA from 1 species